rnacentral:rRNA from 1 species
UACGGGGGGGGGCAAGCGUUGUUCGGAAUUACUGGGCGUAAAGGGCGCGUAGGCGGCUCGCUAAGUCGGAUGUGAAAACUCUGGGCUCAACCCAGAGCCUGCAUUCGAACUGACGAGCUCGAGUUCUGGAGGGGAAAGCGGAAUUCCUGGUGUAGCGGUGGAAUGACGUAGAUAUCAGGAGGAACACCGGUGGCGAAGGCGGUUCUCUGGGCAUUACCUGACGCUGAGGAGCGAAAAGUGUGGGGAGCGAACAGG